rnacentral:rRNA from 1 species
GACGAACGCUGGCGGCGUGCUUAACACAUGCAAGUCGAGCGAUGAAGCACCUUCGGGUGUGAAUUAGCGGCGAACGGGUGAGGAACACGUGAAGAAUCUGCCUUCAACUCUGGGAUAACUCCGGGAAACCGGGGCUAAUACCGGAUAUGAGCCUUGAUCGCAUUAUCGGGGCUGUAAAGUUUUUCGGUUGAAGAUGACUUCGCGGCCUAUCAGCAUGUUGGUGGGGUAAUGGCUCACCAAGGCGACGACGGGUAGCCGGCCUGAGAGGGCGACCGGCCACACUGGGACUGAGACACGGCCCAGACUCCUACGGGAGGCAGCAGUGGGGAAUAUUGGGCAAUGGAGGAAACUCUGACCCAGCGACGCCGCGUGAGGGAUGAAGGCCUUCGGGUUGUAAACCUCUUUCAGUAGGGAAGAAGCGAAAGUGACGGUACCUACAGAAGAAGCACCGGCUAACUAUGUGCCAGCCGCCGCCGUAA